GACGGAAGGUGCAAGCGUUGCUCGGAAUCACUGGGCGUAAAGGGUGCGUAGGCGGCCGUGCAAGUCUGGCGUGAAAGCCCCGGGCUCAGCCCGGGAAGUGCGCUCGAAACUGCGCGGCUCGAGUGCCGGAGGGGAGAGUGGAAUUCCUGGUGUAGCGGUGAAAUGCGUAGAUAUCAAGAGGAACACCUGCGGCGAAGGCGGGUUGCUGGGCCGACACUGACGCUGAGGCGCGAAAGCUAGGGGAGCGAACGGG
rnacentral:rRNA from 1 species